UUACACUGAACGUUGAGUUCGUCUGUGUAGGAUAGGUGGGAGGCUAUGAAACUGUGGCGCUAGCUGCAGUGGAGCCAUCCUUGAAAUACCACCCUGUCGUGCUUGACGUUCUAACCUAGGUCCGUUAUCCGGAUCAGGGACCGUGUAUGGUGGGUAGUUUGACUGGGGCGGUCUCCUCCUAAAGAGUAACGGAGGAGCACGAAGGUACGCUCAGCGCGGUCGGACAUCGCGCACUGUGUGCAAAGGCAUAAGCGUGCUUGACUGCAAGAUCGACGGAUCAAGCAGGUACGAAAGUAGGUCUUAGUGAUCCGGUGGUUCUGUAUGGAAGGGCCAUCGCUCAACGGAUAAAAGGUACUCCGGGGAUAACAGGCUGAUACCGCCCAAGAGUUCAUAUCGACGGCGGUGUUUGGCACCUCGAUGUCGGCUCAUCACAUCCUGGGGCUGUAGUCGGUCCCAAGGGUAUGGCUGUUCGCCAUUUAAAGUGGUACGCGAGCUGGGUUCAGAACGUCGUGAGACAGUUCGGUCCCUAUCUGCCAUGGGCGUUGGAAGUUUGAGAGGGGCUGCUCCUAGUACGAGAGGACCGGAGUGGACGAACCUCUGGUGUUCCGGUUGUCACGCCAGUGGCAUUGCCGGGUAGCUAUGUUCGGAAGCGAUAACCGCUGAAAGCAUCUAAGCGGGAAGCGCGCCUCAAGAUGAGACUUCCCGGGGCACAAGCCCCCUAAAGGAACCAUGUAGACUACGUGGUUGAUAGGUCAGGUGUGUAAGUACAGCAAUGUAUUGAGCUAACUGAUACUAAUGAUCCGUGCGGCUUGACCAUAUAACCUCA
rnacentral:rRNA from 1 species